rnacentral:rRNA from 1 species
GACGAACGCUGGCGGCGUGCCUAAUACAUGCAAGUAGAACGCUGAAGGAGGAGCUUGCUUCUCUGGAUGAGUUGCGGACGGGUGAGUAACGCGUAGGUAACCUGCCUGGUAGCGGGGGAUAACUAUUGGAAACGAUAGCUAAUACCGCAUAAGAGUAGAUGUUGCAUGACAUUUGCUUAAAAGGUGCAAUUGCAUCACUACCAGAUGGACCUGCGUUGUAUUAGCUAGUUGGUGGGGUAACGGCUCACCAAGGCGACGAUACAUAGCCGACCUGAGAGGGUGAUCGGCCACACUGGGACUGAGACACGGCCCAGACUCCUACGGGAGGCAGCAGUAGGGAAUCUUCGGCAAUGGACGGAAGUCUGACCGAGCAACGCCGCGUGAGUGAAGAAGGUUUUCGGAUCGUAAAGCUCUGUUGUAAGAGAAGAACGAGUGUGAGAGUGGAAAGUUCACACUGUGACGGUAUCUUACCAGAAAGGGACGGCUAACUACGUG